GAUGAAGAACGUAGCGAAAUGCGAUAAGUAAUGUGAAUUGCAGAAUUCAGUGAAUCAUCGAAUCUUUGAACGCACGUUGCGCCCGCCAGUAUUCUGGCGGGCAUGCCUGUCCGAGCGUCAUUUCAACCCUCGAACCCCUCCGGGGGGUCGGCGUUGGGGAUCGGCCCUUUCACCGGGUGCCGUCCCCCAAAUACAGUGGCGGUCUCGCCGCAGCCUCUCAUGCGCAGUAGUUUGCACACUCGCACCGGGAGCGCGGCGCGUCCACGUCCGUAAAACACCCCAAACUUCUGAAAUGUUGACCUCGGAUCAGGUAGGAAUACCCGCUGAACUUAAGCAUAUCAAUAAGCGGAGGA
rnacentral:misc_RNA from 1 species